rnacentral:tmRNA from 1 species
GGGGGCGACCUGGUUUCGACGGAGGUAGCGGGAGAAGAUAAGCGUGCCGAGGUACCCAAUUUCCUCGUUAAUCCAUUGGGACACAAUUUAAGUGCAGACUAUUCAUAUGCACUGGCUGCCUAAUUAAAAAAUAGGUAGCUCGUCUGCUCUGAGUUUGCUUGUUGGCUCGGAAACAGGCGUCGACUAAAACAAGCUGGUCUGGUCUCUGGCUCGGGGAGGUCAGGCGAGAUUUCACUGAGAUAGCAAGAGGUCAGGCCUGCUUGCCGGCGUGAUUUUUUGCGAAUAAAUAAAGACAGGCUACGCACGUAGAAAGUCUUUGUCUUGUGCCUUCGGACGGGGGUUCGAUUCCCCCCGCCUCCAUUA